AAACAAACCCAAUUAACAGGAAGGAAAAUUAGCACACACAAGUCUUUCCAUUUCUGUUUACUCCAACAAUAUAUAUCUCUCUCUUUCUACGCGUUAUCAUUCUCUUCAAAUCUAGGGUUCCAACUUGUUUGUUAUUCAACUUCAUCUCUGUGAUCAUCGAGGUUUCAUGGAGGGAGUGGAAGAGACUGUGAAGUCAGAGGCACACUUGACAUCAGCUGCAGCUUUUGUGGAAGGUGGAAUCCAGGAGGCCUGUGAUGAUGCAUGCAGCAUAUGCCUUGAAGCCUUCUGUGACAGUGAUCCUUCAACUGUAACAAGUUGCAAGCAUGAGUUCCAUCUUCAAUGCAUUCUUGAAUGGUGUCAAAGAAGCUCCCAAUGCCCUAUGUGCUGGCAACCUAUCAGCCUGAAGGAUCCUACAAGUCAAGAAUUGCUUGAGGCUGUGGAGCGUGAGAGGAGUCUUAGGUUUAAUCCAUCUAGAAAUGCGACUAUAUUUCAUCAUCCAACUCUGGGCGAUUUUGAAUUAGAGCACUUGCCAGUGGGUGCAAAUGAUGCUGAACUUGAAGAGCGUAUAAUCCAGCACUUAGCUGCUGCUGCUGCAAUGGGACGGCGUCACAUUGCUAGACGGGAAGGUCAGAGGAACAGAUCAUCAGCUCAAGGUCGUCCACAGUUUUUAGUAUUCUCAAGUCAUCCUAAUGCACCAGCUGGACAAAUUUCUUCCUCUCCAGCUCAGAGAGAAGGUGAACCUGUUGCUACAAUCUCAAUACCCACUCUAUCAUCCCUUCCUGCGAAUGUUCAGGAAGAAUCUUUACAGCCAAUUACACCGCAAUCAUCUGAUGUCCAAGCUGAGCCCGCAUCUGCUUCUUCUUCUGGAUCUAGUAUUCUUGCUUCCAGUGAACGGGAAAAUUUAUUGAACAAUAGGAGGUCUCCUAAUCAGUCUUCCCCAAAUAGCCAAGACAGAGCAGGACCAUCGGAAUCACAAUCUUUUUCGGAUUCUAUGAAGUCUAAGUUAAAUGCUGUUUCAAUGAGAUACAAAGAAUCAAUUUCAAAGAGUACUAGGGGAUGGAGAGAGAGGUUUUUUUCUCGUAGCAAUACUAUGGCAGAUAUUGGUUCUGAGGUUAGAAGAGAGGUUAAUGCUGGAAUUGCAACAGUAUCGCGAAUGAUGGAGCGACUAGAAACCAGAGAAAACAAUAGAACCAGUAUUUCUUCUGUUUCAAACAGUGAGGAAGAUAGCUCAGUAACAGAAUCAAACAACCAACAAAUAUCAGAGACUGGUGGUGGAGAUCCUAUGAGUAAUACAAAUGCCAAUAUGCAAGCUCCGUGUGCUGCAAGUUCUGGUUCAGAUUAAGCAUAAUUUCUGCAAUUGAAUCAACCUCGAGUUAAUUCAGAUAAAACUUGAUCUGUAGCCCUGUAGUCAUUAUGAUUGUCACAUUGAAUUGCAGUUGUUGGUGAUGGCAGGUAUUUUGAAGACAAGUACAAGAUCUUGGUGACUGGCAAAAUCUGAGUCACCUCAUUCUCUGCUACCCUAGCAAGCUGCAGUCCUUCCUGGAUCACUGAUGUCGUUCCCAGGAUCAGUUUCUGUUUCGCGAAUAUAUGUAAUAAAAAAAAAAAAUGGCAUCUCCCAGCACACGUCUGAGGCUGUUCGCAAAAAUGAAAAAUCCACCCAGUUAAAACUGAAUCAGAAAGUGCAUGUUCUAUAAAGGUUGGUCGUUAAACUGAAACUGAAUAGGUGGUUUGGGUUUGAUUAAGGUAAAAGAAUUCAGUUAAACCCCACCUGAUUGAAUAUGCUUAAUUCAAUUGAUUAAUCUGCAAAAAGGUUGCUUUUUUUUUUU